rnacentral:rRNA from 1 species
UUGCCAGACUCCUACGGGAGGCAGCAGUGGGGGAUAUUGCACAAUGGGGGGAACCCUGAUGCAGCGACGCCGCGUGGGCGAUGGAGCGCCUCGGCGCGUAAAGCCCUAUCAGCAGGGAAGAAGAUGACGGUACCUGACUAAGAAGCCCCGGCUAAAUACGUGCCAGCAGCCGCGGUAAUACGUAUGGUGCAAGCGUUAUCCGGAAUGACUGGGUGUAAAGGGAGCGUAGACGGUUGUACAAGUCUGAUGUGAAAGCCCACGGCUCAACUGUGGGAGUGCAUUGGAAACUGUAGAACUAGAGUAUCGGAGAGGCAAGUGGAAUUCCUAGUGUAGCGGUGAAAUGCGUAGAUAUUAGGAGGAACACCAGUGGCGAAGGCGGCUUGCUGGACGAAAACUGACGUCGAGGCUCGAAAGCGUGGGGAGCAAACAGGAUUAGAUACCCCAGUAUCC